rnacentral:misc_RNA from 1 species
UGCCACGUAGCAAGUGCGCGAGGGGCCGGUGGAAUGGUAGCGAUAGGGUCGGAACCGCCGGUGUGUGUUUUAGCAUGUUUUGUAUUGGGGGAGGUGGGGGGCGGUGAAAAAAAAGGUGUGUGUUUGGGAGUACGGCACCCAGGGUUCCCAAGUCAUCACUGACCUCAGUACUAACUGAGCCUGUGGCUGCUUAACUUCACAAAUCGGACGGGAUAUGGUGUUUUCAGCCAAGUAUGGUCGUACCCAACUGCUGGGUGGUGGGUGUGUGUGGGUGGUGUGUGGGGGG